rnacentral:SRP_RNA from 2 species
GCUGAGUUGAGUAACGUCAGCUUGUAACCUAAGUGGGGGCAACAAGGUGAUUGAACAAGGCUAUGGCUUGCUAAGCUACUCUGUAGGUUGCAACCUGCUGGCUUGCCCACUCCAAGCUGAGAGCUGAGCCAUGGGACCUUUGCGAAGGCAUAGGUUUCCUGGUUCCUAGACAGGAGGGCACAGCGUGAGGCUGGUUUCACAGAACAGCGACAACCUCCGGCUCUUGGCAGUGGAGGGAUAACAGGCUGCUGUACCUCCAGUCCCAAUCAAGCUUGGUGAGCCUUGCUCUUGAACAAUCAUUCUU